rnacentral:rRNA from 1 species
GACAGAGGUGCCGAGCGUUAGGCGGAAUCACUGGGCUUAAAGCGUGUGUAGGCGGACUUCUAAGUACCUUGUGAAAUCCCACGGCUCACCCGUGGAACUGCUUGGUAUACUGGUUGUCUUGAGCCUUCUAGGGGCGAGUGGAACAAAUGGUGGAGCGGUGAAAUGCGUAGAUAUCAUUUGGAACGCCAAUGGUGAAAACAACUCGCUGGGGAAGUGCUGACGCUGAGACACGAAAGCCAGGGGAGCGAACGGG